rnacentral:rRNA from 1 species
CAGCACCUCAAGUGGUCAGGAUGAUUAUUGGGCCUAAAGCAUCCGUAGCCGGCGCUGUAAGUUUUCGGUUAAAUCUGUACGCUCAACGUACAGGCUGCCGGGAAUACUGCAGCGCUAGGGAGUGGGAGAGGUAGACGGUACUCGGUAGGAAGGGGUAAAAUCCUUUGAUCUAUUGAUGACCACCUGUGGCGAAGGCGGUCUACCAGAACACGUCCGGCGGUGAGGGAUGAAAGCUGGGGGAGCAAACCGGAUUAGAGACCCGAGUAGUCC